rnacentral:rRNA from 1 species
CGUUCCCGGGCCUUGUACACACUGCCCGUCACACCAUGGGAGUUGGUUUUACCUUAAGCCGGUGAGUUAACCCGUAAGGGAGACAGCCAACCACGGUAGGGUCAGCGACUGGGGUG